UUCGGUGGCUAUAGCGAGGGUGUACCACCCGUUCCCAUUCCGAACACGGAAGUUAAGCCCCUCUGCGCCGAUGGUACUGCCAGGGAAGCUUGGUGGGAGAGUAGGUCGCUGCCGAUU
rnacentral:rRNA from 1 species